rnacentral:rRNA from 1 species
UACGGAGGGUGCGAGCGUUGUCUGGAAUCACUGGGCGUAAAGGGCGCGUAGGCGGCCCUGAGAAGCGUGGGGUGAAAGGCCGGGGCUCAACCCCGGCUCGGCCUCGCGGACUCUCGGGCUCGAGCGCAGUAGAGGCGGGUGGAAUUCCGGGUGUAGCGGUGGAAUGACGUAGAGAGUCCGGAAGAACACCGGUGGCGAAGGCGGCCCGCUGGGCUGUGGCUGGACGCUGAAGGCGCGACAGCGUGGGGAGCAAACAGG